AUUGAACGCUGGCGGCAGGCUUAACACAUGCAAGUCGAACGAGUGGCGGACGGGUGAGUAAUGUCUGGGAAUCUGCCUGCUGGAGGGGGAUAACUACUGGAAACUGUCGCUAAUACCGCAUACCAUCAUCUGAGCCCAGGUGGGUUUAGAUAAUAGGUGGGGUAAUGGCUCACCUAGGCGACGAUCCCUAGCUGGUCUGAGAGGAUGACCGUCCACACGGGAACUGAGACACGGUCCAGACUCCUACGGGAGGCAGCAGUGGGGAAUAUUGCACAAGGGGCGCAAGCCUGAUGCAGCCAUGCCGCGUGUAGGAAGAAGGCAUUCGGGUUGUAAAGGACUUUCAGCGAGGAGGCGUUACUCGCAGAAGAAGCACCGGCUAACUCCGUGCCAGCAGCCGCGGUAAUUC
rnacentral:rRNA from 1 species